rnacentral:tRNA from 1 species
GGGCGAUUAGCUCAGUUGGUUAGAGCGCAUGCUUGACAUGCAUGAGGUCGCUGGUUCGAAUCCAGUAUCGCCCACCA